rnacentral:rRNA from 1 species
AUCUUGGACAAUGGGGGAAACCCUGAUCCAGCCAUGCCGCGUGAGUGAUGAAGGCCUUCGGGUUGUAAACUGCUUUUGUACGGGAAGAAACCCACCUACGUGUAGGUGGCUGACGGUACCGUAAGAAUAAGGAUCGGCUAACUCCGUGCCAGCAGCCGCGGUAAUACGGAGGAUCCAAGCGUUGUCCGGAUUUAUUGGGUUUAAAGGGUGCGUAGGCGGACUAUUAAGUCAGAGGUGAAAGCCGGUAGCUUAACUAUCGAAUAGCCUUUGAAACUGGCAGUCUUGAAUACUGUUGAGGUGGGCGGAAUGUAUCAUGUAGCGGUGAAAUGCUUAGAUAUGAUACAGAACACCGAUUGCGAAGGCAGCUCACUAAGCAGUUAUUGACGCUGAGGCACGAAAGCGUGGGGAUCAAACAGG